rnacentral:misc_RNA from 1 species
GUGAAUCAUCGAAUUUUUGAACGCAAAUUGCACUCUCUUCGGAGAGUAUGCCUGUUUGAGGGUCAGCCUAAAAAAAAAAUCGACAUAGUUGCUGUUUCGCGGUGACAUUCGUCGGAAAUUUGGUCAUCUUAAAUUUUUGUGUUUUAAUCGUCUUAAAAUUUUCUUUACGAUUCCACGUACGUUUUUAAGAUUUACUUCUUAUACGUUUAAGGUAUCGAUCUUUAUUAGACGUGGCCGUUGCAUCGAAUCUAGUCCAUAAAUAUUUCG